rnacentral:rRNA from 1 species
AGCAGUCGCCGCGGGAAUACGUAGGUCCCGAGCGUUGUCCGGAUUUAUUGGGCGUAAAGCGAGCGCAGGCGGUUAGAUAAGUCUGAAGUUAAAGGCUGUGGCUUAACCAUAGUAUGCUUUGGAAACUGUUUAACUUGAGUGCAGAAGGGGAGAGUGGAAUUCCAUGUGUAGCGGUGAAAUGCGUAGAUAUAUGGAGGAACACCGGUGGCGAAAGCGGCUCUCUGGUCUGUAACUGACGCUGAGGCUCGAAAGCGUGGGGAGCAAACAGGAUUAGAUACCCCUGUAGUCCCUGUCUCUUAUACA